rnacentral:lncRNA from 1 species
CUUUCUUUUGCAACUUGUUUGUUUUCUGCCCUGGUAGUGAUAGAUUGCUGCAGGAACUGGAAGGGUCAAAGAAAAUGUGAAUUAGAGCCCUUACAACGUUAUAGGAGAGCCAUCUGAGUUGGAUACAGCUACUGUCUUUGCCAAAUGUCAACUUCAGAUACUGGGCUUGUUUCCCAAUUGUCCUGGACAAAGUGAAACAUCACCACUUGUUGCUGAAGCCAGCAGGAAAUUAAUUCUACUGUAAUGUAACCUUGUGACUUUAAAUGUAGUCUUUUAGCCACUAAACUUGUUUAGUUCUGAGAACAUUUAUCUUCUGCUUCUUUUAAAGAAGCUUUCUGACCCUCAAAGCUUUGUCGUCAUCUCAAACAUCAUCAUCAUCAUUUUCAAACAUGAAUGCAUGCCAAGGACCAGCCUCAACUUGGAGAAGGGUUCUGAGAGAAGGGAUGUUUGACAGCAGAGAAACAAAGGACUGGAAGUCAAAUUGUGGUGAGUUCAAGCUGAUAGCCUAUGUUCUACUCCAGAUGGUAACUGUAGUGGUUAUUCCUGGUUGUCAACUUGACUAUAUUUGGAAUGACUACAAUCCGGAAUUGGAAGGCUCACCAGUGACCCUUAUCUGGAGGAUUGGAUAUCCUUAUCUGGAUCUUGGUUUGAAGAUCUUAAGCCAUAGUGGCUA